rnacentral:rRNA from 1 species
CUGGCGGCACGCCUAACACAUGCAAGUCGAACGAAGUAGCAAUACUUAGUGGCAGACGGGUGAGUAACAUGUAGGUAUCUGCCCUUUGGCCUGGAAUAACACGAGGAAACUUGUGCUAAUACCGGAUAAGUCUUUACAGAGAAAGCUUUAUGCACCAUUGGAUGAGCCUGCACUUGAUUAGUUUGUUGGUGGGGUAAUGGCCUACCAAGACUGUGAUCAAUAGCUGAUUUGAGAGGAUGAUCAGCCACAUUGGGACUGAGACACGGCCCAAACUCCUACGGGAGGCAGCAGUGGGGAAUCUUGCACAAUGGAGGAAACUCUGAUGCAGCGAUGCCGCGUGAGUGAAGAAGGCCUUUGGGUUGUAAAGCUCUUUCGUCGGGGAAGAAAAUGACUGUACCCGAAUAAGAAGGUCCGGCUAACU